rnacentral:rRNA from 1 species
UACGUAGGGGGCUAGCGUUGUCCGGAAUCAUUGGGCGUAAAGAGCGUGUAGGCGGCCCGGUAAGUCCGCUGUAAAAGUCAAAGGCUCAACCUUUGAAUGUCAGUGGAUACUGCCGGGCUAGAGUCCGGAAGAGGCGAGUGGAACUCCUGGUGUAGCGGUGGAAUGCGCAGAUAUCAGGAAGAACACCGACGGCGAAGGCAGCUCGCUGGGACGGUACUGACGCUGAGACGCGAAAGCGUGGGGAGCGAACGGG